CAGUGAAGCCCAGCUGCUCAAGAAUACUGGCGUCACUGUCAUUAGUGUUGGCAUUGGAGUGACCAAUACAGACGAGCUGCAUGCCAUGGCCAGCAAGUCAGAGUACGUCUUCACCACUGGAGGCUACGAGAUGCUGGACUACAUCAAGCGAGACCUGGUCAAGUUGACAUGUGAUGGUGUUUAAGCAAAGGAAUAUCUCCAUAAUUGAUAUCUUCAUAGUAAAUAAAUGUGUGCAAUAAAUUCAAACUAGAAGAC
rnacentral:sRNA from 1 species